ACCAUAGCAAUGUACGUACUUUACGCACAUCAGCAUCCUGUCUGCAGGGCACGGACCCGGGGCAGCAGGUUGGGGCUGGAUGUAAGUAUUCCACAGCUCUGAUCCAGCAUUUAUCUCCUGGGUAGGAAACAGCUCCCAGGAGGUGCUGUUGUUUCAAAAGGAAGCAACGUGGAUCGAAGCACAUUGCACUCUGCUUGGGGGACUGGCUUGCAGCAGAAGAGCUUUCUCUGGGUUGGUGUGACAGGACAUCUGAGCCCAGACAGGAUGGAUCUAUCCAUGACCCAGUCCAACCUUCAGCUUCUCCCAAGGUGCCUGCAAGGAGGCCACACAAGUCCUGUACAGGAGGGUGCUGCAGAGCCCUCCAGCUGCAGUCCUGAGCUGGUGGCGUUGCUCCUUGCUGUGGAUUUGUCCCAUCUGACAUCCUGGAGAAGAAGGUGAGGAAGUCACCAGAACAAUUUUUAGCAUUUAGAGUCAACCACUGUGUAAAAUGAAAGCCCAGCAGCUCAACUGUUCCAGUGCCAUGGAGGGAGCUUUGAGAAGAAUUGGAUACUGCAGGACACUCAUCCCACUACUGGGUUAAUGUAAAUUUCUAAGGAAGACUGCAAGGAUCCUAGUAGAUCAGUCAGUGGAGCAGAGUAUUGUGAACUCCAGUGCAAAGAUCCACAAGCUGCAAAUCUAUACCAAAAGGAAGACUGUGCACAGAAUCAUGUCAGCAAACAUGUGGAGGAGGAAGG